rnacentral:rRNA from 1 species
UUGACCUCAAAUCGGGUGAGACUACCCGCUGAACUUAAGCAUNNNNNNNNNNNNNNNNNNNNNNNNNNNNNNGGAUUCCCCUAGUAACUGCGAGUGAAGCGGGAAAAGCUCAAAUUUAAAAUCUGGCGGUCUCUGGCCGUCCGAGUUGUAAUUUAGAGAAGCGUCUUCCGCGCCGGGCCGUGCACAAGUCUCCUGGAAUGGAGCGUCAUAGAGGGUGAGAAUCCCGUCUUUGGCACGGAUGCCUGUGCUUUUGCGAUGCGCUCUCGAAGAGUCGAGUUGUUUGGGAAUGCAGCUCAAAAUGGGUGGUGAACUCCAUCUAAAGCUAAAUAUUGGCGAGAGACCGAUAGCGAACAAGUACCGUGAGGGAAAGAUGAAAAGCACUUUGGAAAGAGAGUGAAACAGUACGUGAAAUUGUUGAAAGGGAAACGCUUGAAGUCAGUCGCGUCGACCGAGACUCAGCCUUGCCUUGGCUUGGUGUACUUCUCGGCCCGACGGGUCAGCAUCAAUUUUGCCCCUCGGAUAAUGGCAAGGGAAAGGUGGCACCUUCACGGGUGUGUUAUAGUCUCCUGUCGCAUGCGAGGGGUGGGAUUGAGGAACUCAGCGCGCACCUUGGUGUCGGGGCUUCGGCCCACGUCACGCGCUUAGGAUGCUGGCGUAAUGGCUUUAAACGACCCGUCUUGAAACACGGACCAAGGAGUCCAACACGCCCGCGAGUGUUCGGGUGGAAAACCCGUGCGCGCAAUGAAAGUGAAAGUUGGGACCUCUGUCGUGGAGGGCACCGACGCCCGGACCAGACCUUCUGUGACGGAUCUGCGGUAGAGCGUGUGUGUUGGGACCCGAAAGAUGGUGAACUAUGCCUGAAUAGGGUGAAGCCAGAGGAAACUCUGGUGGAGGCUCGUAGCGAUUCUGACGUGCAAAUCGAUCGUCAAAUUUGGGUAUAGGGGCGAAAGACUAAUC